CCAUAUCACGUUGAAACACCGGUUCUCGUCCGUCCACUGAAGUUAAGCAACUUUGAGCCUGGUCAAUACCAAGAUGAGUGGCCGCUUAGGAAUAU